rnacentral:rRNA from 1 species
GACGAAGGGGGCUAGCGUUGUUCGGAAUUACUGGGCGUAAAGCGCGUGUAGGCGGUUGUCCAAGUUGGAUGUGAAAGCCUUGAGCUCAACUCAAGAAAUGCAUUCAGGACUGGAUGACUAGAGGACCGGAGAGGAUAGUGGAAUUCCUGGUGUAGCGGUGAAAUGCGUAGAUAUCAGGAGGAACACCUGUGGCGAAAGCGGCUCACUGGACCAUAACUGACGCUGAUGCACGAAAGCUAGGGGAGCAAACAGG